rnacentral:lncRNA from 1 species
ACUUAGCCACAAUCAUUCAAAAAUUUGUCAUUCAAUUCAAAAUCAUCAAAGUUUCAACAAUUGUCAAUAAUUCAAGAAAACUCAUCAUCAAGAAUUCAUAAAUUUCAAUCAUCAAGAUUCAAGCAUUAUCCAUCAAAUUCUACAUUCAAUCUUGGGAAUUAAUGGAAGUGUAGGAUCUUACCUCUUGAAAUUUUACGUUUCUCUUCAACGCGUCGUCUACAAACAACUUCUAACAGAAGCAAACCUCCGCUCCGUCGAUAAUUC